AUGUUUACUUAUUUUUGAGAGAGACAAAGAGACAGAGCGCAAGUAGGGGAGGGGCAGAGAGAGAGGGAAACACAGAAUCCAAGUAGGUCCCGGGCUCUGAGCUAUCAGCACAGAGCCUGAGCGGGGCUCAAACCCACAAACUAUGAGAUCAUGACCUGAGCCAAAGUCGGACGCUUAACCGACUGAGCCACUCAGGCGCUCCGAAGCUUUGACAUUUCUCGCACGACAAUUUCAAGACAAUGUUCAUCCUAGUCCACUCUCCCUAGUGGUCACCUAAAUCAGCUUAUGUUUUUCCAAAUAUGGAAGAAAACCUAAGGAGGGUCCCCAUCCAGGUGUAGCGAGAAUGCCGAUAACGAUCAGAGAGAGUGUUUAUGUAAAUUAUCAAAUGAUUCCAGCGCUGUUGAUUCUGCCAUAAGCCUCCUUAAUCAUAAAUAAGAAAGCCAAGAUGCAAAGAAGGACACAUGUCAUCAAUUUUACUCUGAAGGAAAGCAAAGACACUUACAUUAAAAGGAGCGACAGGAUUUCUACAGUAACUUCGGAAACUCUCAGAGCUGCCAUCAAAAAUCCUUGAUGAAUUACUCCAGUUGGAUGGGAGUUCUGCGUGGGGAAAGGUCGAAAGGAUAGUUUUUGUUAAAGUCUGCCCCAGACUGACGUUGACAGCCGCUAGCAAAGCUCUGCUGUCAGCUGGGAGCUAACUUGCCAGAACGCACCUGCCUCUGUGGUCCUGUUAGUAAUGGCCAGUGAGACGGGCUGGGAUGGGACUUCCAACAUCAAAAUUGUGGAAAAGGCUCAGUCCCUUACCUGGACACUCUAGGGCUGGAAGUGUGAUGUGGAGACAACAGACAAUAUAACUUUGCACCGCCGUCGCCCUUACAGAGCCAGCACAUGCUCUCAGCAGCUGGAGCGGCACGACCAAGCUCCCUCCCCAGGAACUGCACUCAGCGUCACAGACAGCCACCAGAGCCGUGAACACCCAUGAGCACCUGUGCUUGAACUCCAUUCAUGUUGUGCUUCUAUUAGCAACAUAUGUCCUAAGGUUUCAAAAAUGUCUAAGAGAGGUUGGUUUCUUGGGGGGGGGGGGUCUAGAUACACUUAAAAAAUUUCCAUAAACAAUAAUGGCAAUUGCUUCUUUGCUUUGCACCAUUUCAGCUUAUGAGAGCUUUCAUAGGAACGCUCUACUUUUGCGGACAGCCGGGCAAGCCUGUAUACGAUAAAAUAUUGCACAGCCAUAAAAUGCAUGCCUUAGAAUAGUAUCUACUGAAAGAGGGAAAUGUUCAUUACACUAUUUUUUUAAACGUAGGUACAGAACCACAUAUAAAUU
rnacentral:lncRNA from 1 species